AAGCACUCUUUAAAAAGAGUCUCAUGUUAAGAGAAAAAAUAUUUCUAACGUGCUAAAAAAAACAUUUGGAAGAAAAUGAAUCACAGAAUUAAAUUUGCUAUUGCUGACAGUCACCUUCAGAUAACU
ensembl:snoRNA